rnacentral:lncRNA from 1 species
AAGAAAGCAGAUAUCAUAAAACGAACAACAACGGGUAUAAAUAAACAACAGAUACAACAAAUAUAAAAAAAGAUAAAAAUACUUAACCACAAUAUUUAUAACUGAUUAUAACAAUAAAACCGAAAUCAUUUGGUUCAAACAUCAUUUCCCUCACAUCCUUAUCAUUUUUAACUCGCACCCACCCACGCAGGGCAUCGUGUCUCUCAAUACUUCUAAUUUUUCCUCC